rnacentral:rRNA from 1 species
AGACCCGAAACCCGGUGAUCUAGCCAUGGGCAGGUUGAAGGUUGGGUAACACUAACUGGAGGACCGAACCGACUAAUGUUGAAAAAUUAGCGGAUGACCUGUGGCUGGGGGUGAAAGGCCAAUCAAACCGGGAGAUAGCUGGUUCUCCCCGAAAGCUAUUUAGGUAGCGCCUCGUGAAUUCAUCUCCGGGGGUAGAGCACUGUUUCGGCUAGGGGGCCAUCCCGGCUUACCAACCCGAUGCAAACUGCGAAUACCGGAGAAUGUUAUCACGGGAGACACACGGCGGGUGCUAACGUCCGUCGUGAAGAGGGAAACAACCCAGACCGCCAGCUAAGGUCCCAAAGUCAUGGUUAAGUGGGAAACGAUGUGGGAAGGCCCAGACAGCCAGGAUGUUGGCUUAGAAGCAGCCAUCAUUUAAAGAAAGCGUAAUAGCUCACUGGUCGAGUCGGCCUGCGCGGAAGAUGUAACGGGGCUAAACCAUGCACCGAAGCUGCGGCAGCGACACUCAGGUGUUGUUGGGUAGGGGAGCGUUCUGUAAGCCUGUGAAGGUGGCCUGUGAGGGUUGCUGGAGGUAUCAGAAGUGCGAAUGCUGACAUAAGUAACGAUAAAGCGGGUGAAAAGCCCGCUCGCCGGAAGACCAAGGGUUCCUGUCCAACGUUAAUCGGGGCAGGGUGAGUCGACCCCUAAGGCGAGGCCGAAAGGCGUAGUCGAUGGGAAACGGGUUAAUAUUCCCGUACUUGGUGUUACUGCGAAGGGGGGACGGAGAAGGCUAUGUUGGCCGGGCGACGGUUGUCCCGGUUUAAGCGUGUAGGUGUGUGUUCCAGGUAAAUCCGGUUCACUUUAACACUGAGGCGUGACGACGAGGCACUACGGUGCUGAAGCAACAAAUGCCCUGCUUCCAGGAAAAGCCUCUAAGCAUCAGGUAACAU